rnacentral:misc_RNA from 1 species
CCCCCACACUCAAGUCUCUUAAUUGAAGCUUGGAUGACUUUAAAGAAGUGGCUGAAAUACAAUAGGCUACUCUUUAGAAAUUCAUAGGCAGUAUGGCACCUGAAUUAGGCGUAAUAAGAAUAUAAAAGCGUCAAUCUUUAGGAAGGUUGUACUUGCCUCAACCCACCCAUUUUCUUUU